ensembl:miRNA
GUAUUCAGGUUGGUGCAAAAGUGAUUGUGGUUUUUGCUAUUAAAAGUAAUGACAAAAACAGCAAUUACUUUUGCACCGACCUAA